GUUUAUGUGUGUGUGUGUGUUAUUUGUUUUUCUUGAAUCGCUGUCAUUAAUGAGUUACAGAUAUUACACUUUUAUGGCUGGCAGACACGCUUAUCCACUCUCCAUUCUAAUCGUGUUUGACUCUGACUCCGACUCCGACUCCGACUC